CCAUCCUAUAUAUAUUUUUCUAAUAUUUCCUGGACAUCUUGAGUUCUGGACCCUAUUACAUAUCCCUGUUUGGGGCCCCCCUCUUGGCUGCACCCUGUUACAGUCCUACAUUGCACUGGGAUUCUAAUGAAAUAUAUUGUAUAAAUGUGUGUCACCUUUAUAAAAUCUGAAAGUUUGUGGGCCUUGGUCAUUAAGUCAUCCUGCUGCUUCAUGAUAUGGAGUGUUUUCAGUGCUCUGUGGACACCUGCUCCUUAGGAAAUUCACAGGGGCUACAAAUUUGUAAAAAGCUGUCAGUGUUUUGCAUAUUGUGGGUCAUGAAAAGAACUCAGUUGAGCAGUGACUAUAAUUUUUUUUUUCAUGGAAAAAAGUGACUAGAAUAAAAACCAUGCCAGACAUUCUGCUUUGUGAGAUUAAGUGUUACCUCAUGAAACUUUUUAGUUAUGCAUGUGAAUGAGCAGUCAUGAUAUAGAUUGUCCAUGUUACUGUGGGUCAAGGUUAAAAAAAAGAAAGUUGAAGAAUUCUGCUGCUGUUGAAAUAGCAACAGUUUGGAGGCCAACUGACUUGGAUGCAAAUCCUAGAGAUGACAGAUAAUCCAGGUUCUCAGAAGCAUUGUCCCAAGGGUUCAAUGAGAGAUACGUGUUCUGUUAGCAGAUAUUCUGUUCUCGUGCACAGAGAAGUGCACGAGACAGGUCCCAAGUAUGUACUUAUUGUGAUUAAGUGCUGAAAAUGGUUGUGAAGUUGCUGUGUCAUCUCUGAAACACAGUGGAAACUUGGGGCUGGGGUAGUUUCAAUAAAUAACAAUUGUGAUUCCUGCAGGGAAACUGAUGUUCUGACUGAUCCUACUUCUGGACAUUUUGGGGACUCAUUCAACAUGGCCAAGAAAUCAGUCCUAGAAGGAAGGAAGACUUUCUCCCAGUUUCCUUGUCCUUCCUGCAGCCCUGCCAGCUGGGAAUGUGGAGGGGAAGGAGGAGGAGCUUAAACCAGACUGCUGGGCCUAGUUGGCUACUACUGAGUAAUUUGUGACCCUAAAGGACGUGGCCAUGGACUUCACUUUGGAGGACUGGGAGCAGCUGGGGCUGGACCAGGAGGACCUGUUCUGGGACAAGGCACUGGAAAACUACCAGAAUCUCUUCUUGCUGAACCCCCUGAGACCCAGCCUGACCAAUCCAGAUGGUGGGGAAGAGCUGAAGACCCUGGUGAGAGGAAGUCCAGAAGUGACAGGCCCUGACACAGCUGAGGCCAAGAUCUCCAUGCUGCAAGAAUUCUCAGAAGAAGGACUCUCUCAGGAGAUUAUGGAGACAUUUUCCAAGGACGGCCUCUGGAACCCUAACUUGGGAGAAGCCUGCAUGGAUGAGAGCUGGUUGGAUAGUUUGCUAGGAGAUCCAGAAAGUCUUUUGAGCUCUGACACUGUCAUCAACAAGGAAAGUUCCACAGAGUACACGGGUCAUGAACUCAAGAGCAGCCUCAGUCGUGAGUCCUUCCUUUUCACCAAAGAGGGUUCCCUGAUCUCUGAUGUUUCUGAGAAGAGCCUGAUGCCAGCUAGGUCUCAGGAGUGUAGGAAUGACUUCGACUCCCACUCAGGCCAGAGUCAGCAAGAUACGGUCCAGGAAGGAGUGCAACCAUAUAAGUGUAGUGAAUGUGGGAAGAACUUCAGCCGGAGUUGCAGUCUCCUCCAGCACUGGAUUAUUCAUAUGAGGGAGAAACCACCUGGGAACGAAGAGGACGAGAAUGGUUCCGACCAGAGUCCUUGCCUUUUUGAGUAUCCAACGACUCACACAGGCUACGCAUCCUAUGUGUGCGAAAAGUGCGGGGAAACUUUCAGUCACAACACACACCUUCUGUUACAGCAGAAAAUUCACACUGAAGAAGAAACAUGUAAGAGUCAGGACAGUGACCACCCAUCAGGUCCUGGCUUACAGCCUGUUGAGCAGCAUAAAACCCACAAAGGUGGUAAAUCCUAUAAGUGCAAUGAGUAUGGCAAGAGUUUUGGCCAAAUCAUUCAUCUUACUAGGCAUCAGAAGACCCACAUGCGGAAACGCUAUGAAUGUGCCAAAUGCAAGGCCGCCUUCAACUUUAACAAACACCUCCUGCAGCAUCAGAAAGUUCAUUCUGUGAAAACUACCUCUACAUGUCAGGAAUGCGGGAAGGCCUUCAGGCAGAGGUCAGCCCUCAUCAAACACCAGUCUGCUCACACUGGAGAAAAGCCUUGUAAGUGUGAUGAGUGUGGGAAAGCUUUCAGCUAUAUCUUGACCUUAAGGAGCCACCAAAGGGCUCACAGUAAAGAAAAGCCUUACAAAUGCAAUGAAUGUGGGAAAGCCUUCUACCGAAACACUCACCUGAGUGAACAUCAGAGGAUUCACACGGGGUACAGGCCCCACAAAUGUGACAAAUGCAACAAGGGUUUCAGCCGGCCUUCCCACCUGAUGCGACACCAAUCUGUUCAUGCCACAGAAAGGCCCUACAGCUGUGCCGAAUGCAAGCAGACCUUUAGCCAUAAUGAACACCUUGUUCAACACCAGAAAAUCCAUGCUGUGGAAGCCCGCCAUGAAUGUCAGGAGUGUGGUGAGCACUUUGUUUGCAGGUCGACCCUAAUGAGCCACCAAAGCGUUCACACCCAAGAACAAGGACUUGGUAAGAGUGGAAAGAUCUUGAAUCAGAACCUACAACAAAAAGAGCAUCUAGGGACUGGUGAGAAGCCCUUUAAGUGUAACAAAUGUGAGAAAACCUUCGACUGCAGCAAAUACCUGACUCAGCAUGAGAGGCUUCACACCAGGGAGAAGCCCUUUGAGUGUAACCAGUGUGAGAAAGCCUUUGGCCAAAGUACACAACUCAUUCGCCACCAGAUGAGCCACUCUGGGGUGAGGCCAUAUAAAUGCGGGGACUGUGGGAAGGCCUUCAUCCGCACCACCUCCCUCACCAAACAUCAGUGCCUACACGAGAGCAAGUGCCCCUUUAAGUGUAAAGAAUGUGGAAAGACUUUCAGUCACAGUGCACAUCUCUCAGAACAUCAGUUAAUUCACACUGUGGAGAAACCCUUUAAAUGUAACCAGUGUGCCAGAGUCUUUGUGCACAGUAAGUACCUUAUUCAGCACCAGAGAAGUCAUACUAGAAAGACAUCUUUUGAGUGUAAUAAAUGUGGAAAGACAUUCAUACACCGCUGGCUCCUUUCUAAGCAUCAGAGGGUUCACACACGUGAGAAACCCUAUAAAUGUGGCGAUUGUGAGAAAACCUUCAGUAUGAAUGCUCUACUUAUUCGACACCAGAGAGUUCACACUGGGGAAAAGCCUUACUUUUGUCAGGAAUGUGGGAAAGCCUUCAGCCAGAGCUCAUGCCUUUCUGUUCAUCUGAGAGUUCACACUGGGGAAAAGCCCUUCCUUUGUGUCGCAUGUGGGAAAUCCUUUUCCCAGAAAACAAAUCUGAGGCAGCAUGAGAGAAUUCACACUGGGGAGAAGCCUUACAUCUGUGAUGUGUGUGGGAAAGCCUUUGGCUUCAGAGCGCAUCUCAGUGAGCACCAGAGAAUUCACGCCCAAGAGAAACCAUAUCAGUGUCAACACUGUCAAAAAGCCUUUCGCUUCUAUGUAGGUCUCCGCCGACAUCAGAAAGUCCACACUCAAAAGUAACAAGUAGCAAUACUUCUUGUGGCUGCCAGGUGGCAGCAGGGCCCAACAUCUGAGACCUAAAGUUGAAACCAUCACAUGUAAGUUCUGGGGCCACUGAGGAUUGCUGGAGAGCCCAUUAAGGAAAUGAACCUUCAUCUUGGAGCUGUCAAGUCAACAGAUCACCUUGGCCAGGCCUGUUCUACAGCAGAGACUCACCUCAUGGAACUACACAGCCUUCUCCCUCUUGAUGGUGCCUCAUUUCUGGGCUUUUGUGCCCUACCCACUAAGUGAACAAGUCAUGUGUUUGCUGAAGCACAAACAGAAUCUUAUUAAGACAUUGGACUCUUAAUAUCUUUCAUAUUCUUGGUGCUAAAAAAGUUUAGGAGUAGGUACCCUGUGUCCUGGGCUUUUAAAACCUUGUGCCUUGAGUUCUGCUGAUUGGUUGUUGUUGAAACUUGGAAUUUAAUGGUGGAUCAUUCGGCCCACUGCACAGUGAGGAGCACACUGGUUUUCUGUUGGCCGGAAUGUACAACUCCCUGUGCAUGGUCUGGUCUGGGCGACAGGCCUGCUACAUGCCAAAGGGGACUACAAAGUGUGCAGGUAGGCCAGAGGUGGGAACUCAAAUCAAGAAGUGUGUUCACUGAAGUUUUGACAGCACACACACAAGUCAGAGACCCUUUGGAAAAUCAGCAGCCAUGGGAGGGACAGGGGAAGUAGUUUCUGUAACUAAUGACUGGUAUUGAGGGACAGAGUAGAAAUGCCCUUGUGUGUAUGUUGGUUCUUUGAUUAAAGUUUUGAAUCUAAAGGUGUUGGUUCCUUCUCUCAGCCUGGUGCCACAUGCCUGGCCAGGUACUGGGUAUAUAGAGUCCCUGCCUGCCAGUUUUCCUUUUCCAGUGGGGAGGGCAUGCAGUGGUGAAAACCAUCCCAUAUUAAGAGGGCAGUUAAAUAUGUUUACCCAAAGACUGGGAGGGAAACCACACAAUUUCAGCCCAUCCUCAGAUGCAUCAUCAAACCACACUUUUUCAUUCUGGUGCAAUCCUAAUUAAUCAAGGAGAAAGCACGGACAGCAUGGUAUUUACUUAUCUCUAUAAAGACACAGCAGGCCUCAGGCUCUGGCAAUAAUUUUAGCUAGAAUUUAAUAUUUGGCUCUGUUGGCAUUUAUUUUCAUUCUCCCCCCUUUUUCCUUUACUAACAAAAGAUACUAGUUUCCCGCUCAUGGUAGUGGUAGAAAGUCCUCUUUAAAAAUAAAUUGAUUUAAGGGGAAAAAAGUAAAUUGAUUUAAAGGGAAAAAUACACAGUAUUCACACAGCAAAAACUGACGGUGGUGUAUAGCUGAAAGAGGGUUGGGGAACACUGAGUUAACUAAAGCCUAGCAUGCACCCCUGUCAAUAGACUGCUAUGUCAGGAAGAACUAGGUUAUGCUGUGGCAACACCGUUAAGUGUCAGAUCUCAGUGGCUGAACAGAACAAUGGUUUAUUUUGGUCACUCACACUACAUGUCCUCUGUGGAUUGGCAGGGGUUGGGGACAGUGGGUGGCUAGGUCUGGCCUAUCCACCUGAGAGACCAGGGUAUAGCCCGACCAGCUGGAACAUGUGACCUUGGUUACCAUGGCAGGAAAAAGAGGGACCUGGAAGCUUCUGCAGGAGUUUAUCACUGCCUUAGCCUGAAAGUGCUGCUGGUCAUUUCCAUUCAUGUUCCCUUAGUCAGAACUAGUCACUUUGACUCCACUAAAAAAGGGCUGGGUAGGCCAUCUCCUCUGUGCCCAAUAGACGAGAACCAAGCCCUGGCUGG